rnacentral:rRNA from 1 species
ACCUCAAAGCUAGCCUAUAUAUCAACUUCAACUAGACCUAAUAAAUCUAAUUCACACUAUAAUUUUUUAACCAAAACAUUCUUAACCUUUUAGUAUGGGCGACAGAACAAUAACUUCAGCGCAAUAGCUUAUGUACCGCAAGGGAAAGCUGAAAAAGAAAUGAAAUAAAUUAUUAAAGUACUAAAAAGCAGAGAUUACAUCUCGUACCUUUUGCAUCAUGAUUUAGCUAGAAAAACUAGGCAAAAAGAUCUUAAGUCUAUCCUCCCGAAACUAAACGAGCUACUCCGAAGCAGCAUUAUAGAGCUAACCCGUCUCUGUGGCAAAAGAGUGGGAAGACUUCCGAGUAGCGGUGAAAAGCCUACCGAGUUUAGUGAUAGCUGGUUACCCAAAAAAAGAACUUCAAUUCUGCAUUAAUUUUUUAAUUACCUAGACAAGACUCUCCUUAUCAAAGGAACUCAUAAGAAUUAAUAGUUAUUUAGAAGAGGUACAGCCCUUCUAAACCAAGAUACAACUUUUUAAGAUGGGAAAUGAUCAUAAUUACCAAGGUAAUCCCCUCAGUGGGCCUAAAAGCAGCCACCUGUAAAGCAAGCGUCGCAGCUCCAGCUCAAUAACCAAACCCUUAAUCCCGAUACCCACUCACUACCCUCCUUACUUAUUGGGUUAUUUUAUAAAAAUAUAAAAGAACUUAUGCUAAAAUGAGUAAUAAAGAGAAUAUAUCUCUCCUAACACAAGUGUAUGUCAGAAGAAUUAAAUCACUGAUAAUUAAACGGCCCCAAACUGAGGCUACUAUACUAUUUAAACAUCAACCAGAAAACCCUAUUCUUCCACCCGUUAACCCUACACAGGAGUGUUACCAGGAAAGAUUAA